GUUGGAAAUCAUUCGCAGAGUGUAAAGGCACAAGCGAGCUUGACUGCGAGACAGACAGGUCGAGCAGGGACGAAAGUCGGGCUUAGUGAUCCGGUGGUUCCGCAUGGAAGGGCCAUCGCUCAACGGAUAAAAGCUACCCUGGGGAUAACAGGCUUAUCUCCCCCAAGAGUCCACAUCGACGGGGAGGUUUGGCACCUCGAUGUCGGCUCAUCGCAUCCUGGGGCUGUAGUCGG
rnacentral:rRNA from 1 species